AAGCCAGCAAGUCCGGCUGGAUCUCUUUGCUUUCUUUGCUCCACACCUUGCCACGUGUAAUUGCAAAUGACUCCAGAUUUCCUACUCUCCACUUUGUUUUAUUACGCAUUAUCCUCCGACAAUUGACAAAGUUAACAGGAAGUCUUGGCUCCCACUCCCCUUGCUCCACCUCCACAGCUUCCUCCAUUUCAGCUCUCUGAACGAUUGAAGGGUGUGAGGUCCCGUCAUGGACGCGGCACCACAGCUCGUCUAUUGCGGACUUGAGCCUAUCAAGCACAUCCUACCCAAUCGUCGUUCCUCUAGUGUUCGAAUUCCGUGUCUCAGGCGAACCAAUCGUGUCUUCGCGGUUGCUACCGAGCCGAAACCGUCUGGGGCAGGGCCGUCCGAUUCCUCGACACCGAACAUCGUCAAUGGCUCCUCAGGAUCGCCGUCUUUGAAAUCCGUUAAUGGAGUUUCCUCAAAGUCUCCCGUGUUGAAACAGACAAACGGAGUUCCGACGAGAAUUGGUGAUGUUUCGCAGGAGAUUCAAAGAGUGAGAGCACAACUGGAGGAAAACGAAGAGGUGGCUAUACUCAUGAGAGGACUUAGGGGCCAGAAUUUAAGGGAUUCCCAGUUUGCUGAUGACAGUGUCCACCUUCGCUUAGUUGAGGUGGAUGAGAGCAGUGAAUUUUUACCCUUGGUGUAUGAUCCAGCUACCAUCUCUGCAUAUUGGGGAAAACGGCCACGUGCUGUUGCAACACGGAUUAUCCAGUUACUAUCUGUUGCUGGGGGUUUUCUUUCACGUCUUGGUUGGGAUGUGCUAAACAAUAAAGUUAAAGAGACUGAAAUUGCUAGAGCCAUUGAAUUGAGAGAAAUCGUGACUUCCUUGGGUCCAGCAUAUAUAAAACUAGGGCAAGCUUUGAGCAUUCGGCCAGAUAUUUUGUCACCUGCUGCAAUGACUGAGCUGCAAAAGCUUUGUGAUAAGGUUCCUUCAUUUCCAGAUGAUGUGGCAAUGGCUCUUAUUGAGGAGGAGCUUGGUCAGCCAUGGCAAGAGAUUUAUUCUGAACUUUCUUCUUCUCCAAUAGCUGCUGCAUCUCUUGGACAGGUAUACAAGGGCCGGCUAAAAGAAAAUGGGGAUCAAGUGGCUGUCAAAGUCCAGAGGCCUUUUGUUCUUGAGACUGUAACAGUUGAUUUGUACGUUAUACGAAACCUCGGCUUGGUUCUGCGGAGGUUUCCUCAGAUAUCUGUGGAUGUGGUUGGAUUGGUUGAUGAAUGGGCUGCUCGCUUUUUUGAGGAGCUAGAUUAUGUCAAUGAGGGGGAAAAUGGGACAAUCUUUGCGGAUAUGAUGAGGAAGGACCUUCCGCAGGUGGUUGUCCCUAAAACCUACGAAAAAUAUACAUCAAGAAAGGUUCUUACUACUGGAUGGAUUGAAGGAGAGAAGCUGUCGCAGAGUACUGAAAGUGAUGUUGGAGAACUGGUUAAUGUCGGAGUCAUAUGUUAUCUGAAGCAGCUGCUUGAUACUGGGUUUUUCCAUGCUGACCCGCAUCCUGGGAAUUUGAUUCGAACUCCAGAUGGGAAGCUAGCCAUACUUGACUUUGGUCUUGUGACAAAAUUAACAGAUGAUCAGAAGUAUGGAAUGGUUGAAGCAAUUGCUCACCUCAUUCAUCGGGAUUAUGAUGCUAUCGUCAAAGACUUUGUUAAACUCGAUUUCAUUCCUGAGGGGGUUAAUUUGGAACCAAUUCUGCCAGUUCUGGCUAAGGUUUUUGAUCAGGCACUCGAAGGUGGAGGAGCAAAAAAUAUCAACUUUCAAGAGUUGGCUUCAGAUUUGGCACAAAUAACAUUUGAUUAUCCAUUUCGAAUACCCCCAUAUUUUGCUCUUAUAAUUAGGGCAAUAGGGGUGCUGGAAGGCAUUGCUUUAGUGGGGAAUCCUGACUUUGCCAUUGUAGAUGAGGCCUAUCCUUAUAUUGCGCAGAGGCUUCUCACUGAUGAAUCCCCACGUCUGAGGAAUGCUUUACAUUACACGAUAUAUGGAAAAUCGGGUGUUUUUGAUGCUGAAAGAUUCAUUGAUAUCAUGCAAGCCUUUGAGAAUUUCAUCACUGCAGCCAAAAGUGGUGGUGGUGAGGAUUUGAAUGGAGAUAUGGCUGAACUUGGCAUUCUCCAAGGUCAAACUGGCAAUGUCUUUCCUGGAUUUCCAUUGAUUGUAUCGCAACCAAAGCAGCAAAUUCAAACUAGGGAAGCCUUAGCAUUUCUGCUGUCAGAGAAGGGGAACUUCUUCCGAGAAUUUCUUCUGGAUGAGGCGGCUAUAUGGGAUGGAAUGUUUGCACUAGAGCACAAUAACAUGUGGGAUUUAGUGCCUUUACGGCCUGGCAAGAACCCCAUUGGCAACAAAUGUGUCUAUGCAGUUAAGACGAAUCUGAUGGAUCGGUUGCCCACUUUAAGGCACGGUUGGUGGCGAAAGGAUUGUAAAGGGCAUUGAUGCAGUUGCAAGGGAGCAGUUGGUACAAGUAAUGGCUGUAUUAGGACUUGGAAACUCUUCUCCAGUUUUUAGCAUGGUUCCUGCUUUUGGGCCUUUUAAAGUUGCGGGACUUCUUCCUACAAUUACUGAAGAGGACAGAAUUAUAUUGGAUAAUGUUCAGAAAGUAGUGGACUUCUUAACUGCUGGAACGUCAGUGUCAAGGAUUUCAAGUCAGGGUGCCAAUGUGGCUGAGGUUAUACAGGAGCUGAUUCCAGUGUUGCCAGGCAUCUCGGCUAGAGUGCUUCCUGAGGUGCUGACUCGCUUAUCUUCCCGUAUCUUGGCACGCAUGGUUCGAGAUAUCUUUUUGUGAACAACUUACUGCAGCCCAACUGGUUAAAACCCUCUAAAUUUAGGUUAUGUAUACGAUAUCAUAUGAAAGCAACAUGAUUACUCCGAGCCUAAUCUUGUAUGCAUUUCGCGUCUCAACAAAAGAAACCUACCCAAAUGUAUUCUUUGUAUAAUUUACAUCACUCAAUUCAAUUGAUGGAUGGCAAUUGUAAAUAUGGGGCUGGCUGUCACAAGGCUGCGGGUACAGUUGUUUCCGUCUAGAAAAUCCAUGUUCUAAGGUGUGUUUUUUUCCGCA